UUGCAAUUGUUUCCGUAGGUAAACCUUAUCAUUUAAAGGAAGGAGAAGUUGUAACAAGGUUUUCAUAGGUGCACCUAUGGAAGGAUCAUACGAACGCGUUUAAAAACAAACUAUCAACAAGUUGGGUUGUUUGGGAAUGCAAUCCCAAUCGGGUGGUAAAUUCUAUCCAAUGCUAAAUAUGGGCAAGAAACCGAUAGCAAACAAGUACCGCAAGGGAAAGAUGAAAAUGACUUUAAAAGAUAAUUAAAUAGUGCUUGAAAUUGUCAAGAGGUAAGUGGAUGGUAGCCGGUGAUGUACCCCAGUCGGAUGUGGAACGGUGACGAGUCGGUCCGCCAAUCAACUUAGAGCAUGGACCGAUGCGAAUUGAGACGGUAGCCUAUGCUCAGACCUUUGUUACGCCUGUGGAGAUGUCGUCGUCCAGAUCAUGGCUGGCAGCGUGUGCCUUAUGGCAGGCUUUGACAUCUGCGCACUCUUGGCAUCAGCCUGUGGGCUCCCCAUUCGACCCGUCUUGAAACACGGACUAAGGAGUCUGGCAUGUGUGUGAGUUAACAGGUGAGUAAUCUCGUAAGACGCAUGGAACCUAGCUGGUGUAUCCCUUAGUGGGUUGCACCACCGACCAACCAUGGUCUUCAGAGAAGGGUUCGAUUGUGAGCAUGUCUAUCGGGACCCAAAAGAUGGUGAAUUAUACCUUAGUGAGGCAAAGUCAGAUGAAACUCUGAUGGAUGCUCGUAGCGAUACUAAAGUGCAAAUCAGACAUCUGACUUGGGUAUAGGGGCGAAAGACUAAUUGAAUCGUAUAGUAGCUAGUUUCUUUCGAAGUUUUCCUCAAGAUAGCUUGAGCCCGCGAGCAAGUUCUAUAGGGUAAAGCCAAUGAUUAGAGGCAUCAGGGGUGCAAUGCCCUUGACCUAUUCUCAAACUUUAACUAGGUAGGUCAACAAGACUGCUUUAUAGAGCCACACCACAAAAUCGAGAGCUCCAAGUAGGCCAUUUUUAGUCAGCAGAACUAGUGAUGCAAGUUGAACAAAAAGCUGGGUUAUGGUGCCUAUCUGCACGCUAACCUAGAUCCCAUAAAGGGCACAAAGGGUCUUGGUCGAUUAAGACAACAGGACGGUGGUCAUGGAAGUCGAAAUCCACUAAGGAGUUUGUAACAACUCAUCUGCCGAAUAAACUAGCCCCCGAAAAUGGAUGGCAUUAAAGCACGCGACCUAUACCCGAUCAUUAGGGCAAGAGCCAGGCCCCGAUGAGUAGGAGGGUAAGACGAUCACUACAAAACCUUGAGCGUGAGCUCGAGUAGAGCGUCCAUCGGUAGAGAUCUUUGUAAUAGUAGCAAAUAUUUAAAUGAGAACUUUGAAGGCCGAAGAGGGGAAAGGUUCUAUGUGAACGACACUUGCAUAUGGUUUAGUCGACCCUAAGAGACGGGGAAACCCAUUUGAUAGCGCGACAACACGAACUUUGAAUGGGAAUCAAGUUAAAAUUCCUAAACUAGGACGUGACGGUUGACGACAGCGUAAGGGAUUCCAAGACGUCGGCGAGGGCUUUGAGAAGAGUUAUCUUUUUUGUUUCACAGUCUGCCCACCAUGGAAACGGCUCAGCCGGAGGUAGGGUUCAGUGGCUAGAAGUGCACUGCACGUUGUAUGGUGUUCAGUGCGCCCCCUACGACCCUCAAAAAUUUAGACGAGUACAUCUCACGCCCAAUCGUACUUAUAACUGCAUCAGGCCUUCAAGGUGAACAGCCCCUAGUCAAUGGAACAAUGUAGGCAAGGGAAGUUAGAAAAAUGAAACCGUAACCUCGGGAAGAGGAUUGGCUUUGAGAGUUGGGCACGGGGUCCUAGUCCCGAACACAUCGAUUAUUGAUGGAUUACUCGAGCUACUUUCACAACGAGAGCGGGUCACCAUGUGCCGAUCAGAGGACGGACUGGGAACGGCUCCUUCUCCGGGCGUCGAACAGUCAACUCAAGACUGGUGCGGACAAGGGGAAUCUGACUGUUUAAUUAAAAAAAGCAUUGUGAUGGUCCCUACGGAUGUUAAUGCAACGUGAUUUUUGCCCAGUGCUCUGAAUGUCUAAGUGAAGAAAUUCAACCAAACACGUGUAAACGGUGGGACUAACUAUGACUCUCUUAAGAUAGACCAAUGUCUUGUCAUCUAAUUAGUGACGUGCAUGAAUGGAUUAACAAGAUUUCCAUUGUCCUUGUCUACAAUCCAGUGAAACCAUAGCCAAGGGAACGAGCUUGGCAGAAUCAGCGGGAAAAGAAGACCUGUUGAGCUUAACUAUAGUUCAACUUUGUGAAAUGACUUGAGAGGUGUAGGAUAAGUGGGAGUCGAAAAGCCAAAGUGAAAUACCACUACUUUUAACGUUAUUUUACUUAUUCCAUGAAACGAAAGCGAGGCACUACCCCUCUUUCUGGACAUAAGGCUUGCUUCGGCAGGCUGAUCCGGGCGAAAGAAAUUGUCAGGUGGGGAGUUUGGCUGGGGCGACACAUCUGUUAAAAUAUAAUGCAGGUGUCCUAAGAUGAGCUCAACGAGAACAUAAAUCUCGUGUGGACCAAAAGGGUAAAAGCUCGUUUGAUUCUGAUUUCCAAUACUAAUACGAACUGUGAAAGCAUAACGUAUUGAUCCUUUUGACCUUCGAAAUUCGAAGCUAGAGGCAUCAGAAAAGUUACCACAAGGAUAACUGGCUUGUGGCAGGUAAGCGUUCAUAGCAACGUUGCUUUUUUAUCCUUCAAUGUCGGCUCUUCCAAUCAUUGUGAAGCAGAAUUCACCAAGUGUUAGAUUGUUCACCCACCAAUAGGGAACGUGAGCUGGGUUUAGGCCAUUGUGAGACAAGUUAGUUUUAUCCUACUGAUGAUGGUGUCGCAAUAGUAAUUCAACCUAGUACGAGAGGAAUCGUUGAUUCGCACAAUUGGUCAUUGCGUUUGGUUGAAAAGCUAGUGGCGCAAAGCUACCGUGUGCUUGAUUACGAUUGAACGCCUCUAAGUCAGAAUCCAGACUAGAAGUGACGCAUGCGCCUAUCACUCGAUUGUCAACAAGGUGUAGAGACCUUUCGACCCCCAAAGGCACGUGUCAUUGGUUAAGCCUUCAUGACGAAUGAGUCGCAGAGGCUGCCUUGUAACGUAAUUCCCACCGAGCGAUUGGUAGAAUCUUUGAAAGACAACUUAAAUACCCAACAUGGUAUUAUAAGUGGCAAGUGGCCUUGCUGCCAUGAUUCACUGAGAUUCAACCCUUCGACCCUCCCA